AUGAACGCUAGCGACAGGCUUAACACAUGCAAGUCGAGGGGCAGCGGGGGUAGCAAUACCCGCCGGCGACCGGCGCACGGGUGAGUAACGCGUAUGCAACUUACCUAUCAGAGGGGGAUAACCCGGCGAAAGUCGGACUAAUACCGCAUGAAGCAGGGGCCCCGCAUGGGGAUAUUUGCUAAAGAUUCAUCGCUGAUAGAUAGUCAGGCGUUCCAGUAGGGAGUUGGAGGGGUAACGGCCCAACAAACCGACGAUGUAUAGGGGUUCUGAGAGGAAGGUCCCCCACAUUGGUACUGAGACACGGACCAAACUCCUACGGGAGGCAGCAGUGAGGAAUAUUGGUCAAUGGGCGUAAGCCUGAACCAGCCAAGUCGCGUGAGGGAUGAAGGUUCUAUGGAUCGUAAACCUCUUUUAUAAGGGAAUAAAGUGCGGGACGUGUCCCGUUUUGUAUGUACCUUAUGAAUAAGGAUCGGCUAACUCCGUGCCAGCAGCCGCGGUAAUACGGAGGAUCCGAGCGUUAUCCGGAUUUAUUGGGUUUAAAGGGUGCGUAGGCGGCCUUUUAAGUCAGCGGUGAAAGUCUGUGGCUCAACCAUAGAAUUGCCGUUGAAACUGGGGGGCUUGAGUAUGUUUGAGGCAGGCGGAAUGCGUGGUGUAGCGGUGAAAUGCUUAGAUAUCACGCAGAACCCCGAUUGCGAAGGCAGCCUGCCAAGCCAUGACUGACGCUGAUGCACGAAAGCGUGGGGAUCAAACAGGAUUAGAUACCCUGGUAGUCCACGCAGUAAACGAUGAUCACUAGCUGUUUGCGAUACAGUGUAAGCGGCACAGCGAAAGCGUUAAGUGAUCCACCUGGGGGGUACGCCGGCAACGGUGAAACUCAAAGGAAUUGACGGGGGCCCGCACAAGCGGAGGAACAUGUGGUUUAAUUCGAUGAUACGCGAGGAACCUUACCCGGGUUUGAACGCAUUCGGACCGAGGUGGAAACACCUUUUCUAGCAAUAGCCGUUUGCGAGGUGCUGCAUGGUUGUCGUCAGCUCGUGCCGUGAGGUGUCGGCUUAAGUGCCAUAACGAGCGCAACCCUUGCCACUAGUUACUAACAGGUGAUGCUGAGGACUCUGGUGGGACUGCCAGCGUAAGCUGCGAGGAAGGCGGGGAUGACGUCAAAUCAGCACGGCCCUUACAUCCGGGGCGACACACGUGUUACAAUGGCGUGGACAAAGGGAUGCCACCUGGCGACAGGGAGCGAAUCCCCAAACCACGUCUCAGUUCGGAUCGGAGUCUGCAACCCGACUCCGUGAAGCUGGAUUCGCUAGUAAUCGCGCAUCAGCCAUGGCGCGGUGAAUACGUUCCCGGGCCUUGUACACACCGCCCGUCAAGCCAUGGGAGCCGGGGGUACCUGAAGUCCGUAACCGCGAGGAUCGGCCUAGGGUAAAACUGGUGACUGGGGCU
rnacentral:rRNA from 1 species